GGGAAAAUGGCGCAAGCACAGCUUCCAGAAAAACAGUUGCUUUCAAACUAGGGAUUUCGGGGCAAAUGGAGACUGUGUUUAGCCCUGGCUGGUGGAUGACAGCGUGGCUAGAAGAAUGCCCCAGAAUGAAGAAUGCAGGGGUUUGUUCUGCCUGUAUUCCAUCAUCUGAGUCCACGCGCGUCACAAUGACUAUGUCCCCAGCCCUCUAAGUGGAAAAACAAUGUUUAGGAUGGGUAUCCAGCCUCCCAUAUCCCAGGCCCACAAAGAGACCUCCACCUGCUCUCAGUCUCAGGGCCUUCUGGUCAGAAUGGCGUGAGAUCACAAUAUAAUCACAGUUUUGGGAGAUUUGAGAGAAGGAAGGGAAGACCGAGAGAGAGGUUGAAGCGGGGGAGAAGAGGACAUGUGACUGAGGACCUGAGCCGUAUGGCCAUGCCUCAGGACUACCUGACAUGAUGACUCCUUGCCGUCCCCAGUCCACCUGGCCAUGCUGCUGCUCCAGUUUCAACUGUUCUGCCUUAUUAUUAUUGGACCAUGCUGGUCAUUUAUGAACAUUAGAACAUCUUGGCCAUGUUCUGUUACAAUCUCCACCCGGCACAGCCAGAAGAGGACUGGCCACCCCA